UGGGGAAUAUUGCACAAUGGGCGCAAGCCUGAUGCAGCCAUGCCGCGUGUAUGAAGAAGGCCUUCGGGUUGUAAAGUACUUUCAGUCGGGAGGAAGGUGGUAAGGUUAAUAACCUUAUCAAUUGACGUUACCGACAGAAGAAGCACCGGCUAACUCCGUGCCAGCAGCCGCGGUAAUACGGAGGGUGCAAGCGUUAAUCGGAAUUACUGGGCGUAAAGCGCACGCAGGCGGUUGAUUGAGUCAGAUGUGAAAUCCCCGGGCUUAACCCGGGAAUUGCAUCUGAUACUGGUCAGCUAGAGUCUUGUAGAGGGGGGUAGAAUUCCAUGUGUAGCGGUGAAAUGCGUAGAGAUGUGGAGGAAUACCGGUGGCGAAGGCGGCCCCCUGGACAAAGACUGACGCUCAGGUGCGACAGCGUGGGGAGCAAACAGG
rnacentral:rRNA from 1 species